CAAAAACAUGUCCUUUUGUUUAUUUAUAUAAGGUCUGACCUGCCCAAUGAGGAAUUGAAUGGCCGCAGUAUUUUAACUGUGCUAAGGUAGCAUAAUCAUUUGUCUUUUAAUUGAGGGCUGGAAUGAAGGGUUGGACGAGGUAUUAACUUUCUUUGAUUUAAUAGGGUGAAUUUAAUUUUUGAGUUAAAAAGCUUAAAUUUAUUUGUGGGACGAGAAGACCCUAUAGAUCUUUAUAAUUUUAUAUUUUAAUAAUUUAGGGAUUUAUAUGUUUUAAGUAGAUGAAUUAUUUUGUUGGGGUGACUGUAGAAUUUGAAUAACUUCUAUUAUUUUAUUUCAUUAAUUAGUGUUUUUAUGAUCCAUAUUUUAUGAUUAUAAGAUUAAGUUACCUUAGGGAUAACAGCGUAAUUUCCUCGGAGAGUUCAUAUUGAUGAGGGAGUUUGCGACCUCGAUGUUGGAUUAAAAUAAGUUAUAGAUGCAGGAGUCUAUUUACUAGGUCUGUUCGACCUUUAAAUUUUUACAUGAUCUGAGUUCAAACCGGAGA
rnacentral:rRNA from 1 species